GUCUGUACCACUGAAAAUGGUUUUUGGCAGGUGUAUGGGAUCUGUUAGGUCAGGGCCUGAACCAGUGAUUGAGCACCUGGUGAAGGGGUGUAGCCAGCCCCGGGAGCACAGGUGGAAGCAAUUCACUUGUGUGACCUACGGUCCACCCCUCCCUAACCUCAUUUAACGACUGGCAGCCGCAAGAGAAGUAUCUCUAGUUGGAGAUCACCUCCUUUGGAGCGUUGGGUGAGCUCUGAACCUCAGAAAGGGACCGUGGUUAAAGGGCUUUGAAACAAUUGCAGAAAAUGAAUGAAUUGAAAUGA
rnacentral:lncRNA from 1 species